UAAAAUAUCAACUUGCUCAAUCAGGAAAUGGCUACAUAUCUUCUUUUAUGCACACAAAGAAGCCUUACUUUCGCAAACUUGAAAAAAAUUGGGGUAACUGUUUUGUACGAAAAUACACAUAGAAGUAAAUGAAACUGAGAUAGUGACACGCAUACAGUCACACACAGAUGCUGAGGGAGCAGGGUGCUGAUAUGAGGGGUGGUGAGUGGCGAGCAGAGACGGGAGCUCCGUGUCUGUUCAGUGUGUUUUAAGAGUGUUUAACUGAGUGAAAAGUCUGUUAUGGCUUCCAGAUGGAGGCCGGUUUGAUCCGGAUCAUUCUGACAGGGCCUGGACUUUGAUGUGCUGCUGCCUAUUACUGACAUUACUCGGAGACGGGCGUAUUUCUCCCUAAUCACUUCCAACUUCAACUUCUCUCCGGUCCUGUGUGCAUGGUAGCUCCAGAUCUACAGCAGGGGUCUUCUGUGAUGGAUUGCUGACCAGGGCAUAUCCUGCCUCGUGCCUAAAGAUGACUGCUGGAGACAGGCACCAACCCAACCCUGCAAGAACUAGCACACACACUGUACCACACUCUUGAAACAAACUCUUGGAAGCCAUUGAAGUUAGGUUUACUUCUAAAGUGUUUUUAAGUUACGUUCAAUAAUUUGUGUUUGUCUUAAGUAUAAAUAACAAUUGUCCGAACAAAUCCGAAGCUGAACUCGCUGAAAUAUUUAGAAGCACUGUGGUAGGCACAAGUUCUUUGCUUUCUGAAUAAACUUAGAGUGAUUUAGAGCAACUUACAGUUUCCUCUGUGGUUGGCCAUUAAAAAGUUGAUCAAAGAGCAAAUAAAUCAUUGAGUUUUGUUUACC